CAGAUAUUGAACGACCCUUGCAUUCCUGUAAUGAAUCUUCCUUGAUCAUGACACCACUCCUGCUCUCACCUUGUUGGUUGGCCGUUCUUUCAGGAAUUCUCUGUUGUACUCUCCAUUGCAGUGUAUGGUACUAUAUAAGAAUGGACAGAUAGAUCACUAUGCUACUGUACGCAAACAUCAGACUAAAGAAGAGAUCUCAACAUGAAUGACUAUUUUGCCUAAAUUUAUACUCACAGACUUGGAGUAAGAUGGAGGUAUGAAAUGAACAUGAG